UACGGGAGGCAGCAGUGGGGAAUAUUGCACAAUGGGCGAAAGCCUGAUGCAGCUAUGCCGCGUGUAUGAAGAAGGCCUUAGGGUUGUAAAGUACUUUCAUCGGGGAGGAAAAAAACAAAACUAAUAAUUUUAUUUCUUGACGUUACCCGAAAAAGAAGCACCGGCUAACUCCGUGCCAGCAGCCGCGGUAAUACGGAGGGUGCUAGCGUUAAUCAGAAUUACUGGGCGUAAAGAGCACGUAGGUGGUUUUUUUAAGUCAGAUGUGAAAUCCCUGGGCUUAACCUAGGAACUGCAUUUUGAAACUGAAAUACUAGAGUAUCGUAGAGGGAGGUAGAAUUCUAGGUGUAGCGGUGAAAUGCGUAGAUAUCUGGAGGAAUACCUGUGGCGAAAGCGGCCUCCUAAACGAAUACUGACACUGAGGGUGCGAAAGCGUGGGGAGCAAACAGGGAUUAGAUACC
rnacentral:rRNA from 1 species